GAAUAAUUAUGCAUAAAUAUUAAAAUGAGUAUAAAGAACGACAAUUCCUUACACAUAGCAACACAAAAUCAAGAAAUAUAUAGGAAAGUAGCACUAAUUUAAGUUAUCAACAAAACCCAUCGUGCAAAGCAACAAUGCCAAACCAAAUUGCUAAUUAAGCCAUCCCUUAUUGGGCCUAAUUGAAUAAUAAUAGAUUUGAG
rnacentral:lncRNA from 1 species